UCAGACGAUGCGUCACGCAUAUCAAUAAGCGGAGGAAAAGAAACUAACAAGGAUUCCCCUAGUAACGGCGAGUGAAGCGGGAAGAGCUCAAAUUUGAAAUCUUAAAGGGUUUCCCUUUACGAAUUGUAGUUUAAAGAAGUGUUUUCUGUUGAGGUUUUGGUAAAAGUUCUUUGGAAUAGGACAUCAUAGAGGGUGAGAAUCCCGUAUUUGACCUUUACUUUCAACUUUGUGAUACACUUUCAAAGAGUCGGAUUGUUUGGGAAUGCAGUCCAAAAUGGGUGGUAAAUUUCAUCUAAAGCUAAAUAUUGGCGAGAGACCGAUAGCGAACAAGUACCGUGAGGGAAAGAUGAAAAGAACUUUGAAAAGAGAGUUAAACAGUACGUGAAAUUGUCAAAAGGGAAGCGUUUGACACCAGUGUUGUUUUUCUGAAAAUCAAUUAAAGAACUGUUUAUGCUAAGUUGUUUAGACUUUAUCAGCUAUCUGUUUAGUUUUGAGCUUUUCUUUAAUGCACUUUUCAGUUAACAAGUCAACAUCAAUUUCUUUUGCUGUAAAAAGGCUUGAGGAAGGUGGCUUGAGAUUCGUCUUAAGUGUUUAUAGCCUCUUGCCUAUGCAGUCGGAGAGAUUGAGGUCUGCAGCGUAGAUCCUUCGGGGCUAAAUGCAUUUGUGCUAAGUUAUAGCAUUUUAUAGACAACUUGUUGACUAUGAUUUGUCUUGUAGCUUACUCGCUUAUGUUAUUUUACCUACGCUUAGGAUGUUGACACACGCGCGUGCUCG
rnacentral:rRNA from 1 species